UCAUAUGGCCUCGUGGUGGCUCUCGGUCUUCUUGGGCAGCAGCACCGCCUGGAUAUUGGGCAGGACGCUGUCCUAAGCGAUGGUCACGCGGCCCAGCAGCUUGUGGAGCGCCUCGUCGUUGCGGAUUGCCAGGGGCAAGUGG
rnacentral:miRNA from 14 species